GACAAGAUGCUGCGAUGUAAGGAAGUGCAGAACAGCAAAGUCACAAUUCCUCACGUACCAUGUGUGACCCAGCGUUCUCCCAAAGCGAGUCCAGUCAAGAACCCCACCUGUUGUUCCAAGGCACUAGAAGAAAUGCACAAUGGUGGUGAUCAUACCUGGUGGGAUCAUGCAAGGCCUCAAUCGUCAGCACGUGAAACAACCGACUCCUCCUCGGACGUCAUAGCAAUCGCAAGAACAACCAUCAUAGAAAUUCGCUGGACAACUUUGGGGUAUGCAAAUCAUUCCUGGCACUCAUAAUUGUUGACUGAAACAGCCUUCGAGGGUCGAUAGUCUCGAUCACUGACCCUGUGGCUUAUU